rnacentral:rRNA from 1 species
AGCUCCAAUAGUGUAUAUUAAAGUUGUUGCAGUUAAAACGCUCGUAGUUUAAAGUCUGCUUCUGGCAGGGGGUCGUCUUUAUGAGUAUGUACUGUCUGUUACUGGCAUCUAUCUGACUGCUUCAACGGGUAAUACCAUUGAAUUUUCAGAGCUGUUACUUUGAGAAAAUUAGAGUGUUUCAAGCAGGCAUGUUGCCUUGAAUACUCCAGCAUGGAAUAGCAAGUAAGGAUCCAAGUCCUUCUUGUUGGAUUAAGGACAUGGGUAAUGAUUAAGAGGAACAGUCGGGGGUAUUCGUACUUGGUAGUCAGAGGUGAAAUUCUUAGAUUUACCAAAGACGAACUACUGCGAAGGCAUCUACCAUGGAUGUUUUCA